GACGAACGCGGCGGCGUGCCUAAUACAUGCAAGUCGAACCGCACGAAGUGAAGAGCUUGCUCUUUAACCAAGUGAGUGGCGGACGGGUGAGUAACACGUGGGUAACCUGCCCAUUAGAGGGGGAUAACAUUCGGAAACGGAUGCUAAUACCGCAUAGUUUCAGGGAUCGCAUGAUUCUUGAAGGAAAGGUGGCUUCGGCUACCACUAAUGGAUGGACCCGCGGCGUAUUAGCUAGUUGGUGAGGUAAUGGCUCACCAAGGCAAUGAUACGUAGCCGACCUGAGAGGGUGAUCGGCCACACUGGGACUGAGACACGGCCCAGACUCCUACGGGAGGCAGCAGUAGGGAAUCUUCCGCAAUGGACGAAAGUCUGACGGAGCAACGCCGCGUGAGUGAAGAAGGUUUUCGGAUCGUAAAACUCUGUUGUUAAAGAAGAACAAGGAUGAGAGUAACUGCUCAUCCCCUGACGGUAUUUAACCAGAAAGCCACGGCUAACUACGUGCCAGCAGCCGCGGUAAUACGUAGGUGGCAAGCGUUGUCCGGAUUUAUUGGGCGUAAAGCGAGCGCAGGCGGUUCUUUAAGUCUGAUGUGAAAGCCCCCGGCUCAACCGGGGAGGGUCAUUGGAAACUGGAGAACUUGAGUGCAGAAGAGGAGAGUGGAAUUCCACGUGUAGCGGUGAAAUGCGUAGAUAUGUGGAGGAACACCAGUGGCGAAGGCGACUCUCUGGUCUGUAACUGACGCUGAGGCUCGAAAGCGUGGGGAGCAAACAGG
rnacentral:rRNA from 1 species